rfam:Oryzias latipes DNA, chromosome22, strain: Hd-rR.
CAGCGUGGCCAUUCCGUCCUGGGCACGCCCGGUCUCGUCUGGUCUAGGAAGCACAGCAGGGUUGGGUUUGGUUGGUCCUUGGAUGUGAGACCGCCUGGAAAUGUCAGGUAUUGUGACUU